UGAACGUAGCCUGGUUCUUUGACCUCAGU
rnacentral:piRNA from 1 species